rnacentral:rRNA from 1 species
UACGGAAGGCAGCAGUGGGGAAUAUUGCACAAUGGGCGAAAGCCUGAUGCAGCUAUGCCGCGUGUAUGAAGAAGGCCUUAGGGUUGUAAAGUACUUUCAUCGGGGAGGAAAAACAAAACUAAUAAUUUUAUUUCUUGACGUUACCCGAAAAAGAAGCACCGGCUAACUCCGUGCCAGCAGCCGCGGUAAUACGGAGGGUGCUAGCGUUAAUCAGAAUUACUGGGCGUAAAGAGCACGUAGGUGGUUUUUUUAAGUCAGAUGUGAAAUCCCUGGGCUUAACCUAGGAACUGCAUUUUGAAACUGAAAUACUAGAGUAUCGUAGAGGGAGGUAGAAUUCUAGGUGUAGCGGUGAAAUGCGUAGAUAUCUGGAGGAAUACCUGUGGCGAAAGCGGCCUCCUAAACGAAUACUGACACUGAGUGCGAAAGCGUGGGGAGCAAACGAGGGAUUAGAUACC